rnacentral:lncRNA from 1 species
GAGACGAUCACGAAGGAAUGGGACACUCUCCGUCUGAGAGAAAGCGACGGGCCUCGGCGGCGUGAUGAUCACGCAUGGACGCCAAAGCCAACUAGCUCCCUUCUACAUGAGCCUAAUGUUCAUGGGAGGGAGAAAGAUAAGGAGCAUAUAAUACAAAUGCUUCUCGCAGACCAUGAGAAUAGCAGGAAUUCGGUUUCCGUCUUACCUAUAGUUGGAAUGGGGGGGAUCGGUAAGACUACGCUCGCACAGCUUGUGUACAACGAUCCUAGAGUGUCUCAUCGCUUUCGACAAAAGGGGUGGGUCUGUGUAUCCGAAAAUUUUGAUGUGCUAGAGUUAGCAAGAAAGAUUUACACCUCGAUCACUAAAAGAAGUUGCUACUACACUGAACUAAACGAGAUUGUGGAUGCUCUUAGGGAAGAAUUGAUGGGCAAGAGGUUCUUACUAGUGCUCGAUGAUGUCUGGAAUGACAACCCGAAUCUCUGGACUCCGCUGAGAGACUUCCUCUUUGCUCUAGAACCCGGUAAAGUUAUAGUAACUACUCGGAAUGAAUCGACAGCUAAGAUCAUGCAGACGGUGCCUCCUCAUAGGUUA